rnacentral:rRNA from 1 species
AUUGAACGCUGGCGGCAGGCCUAACACAUGCAAGUCGAACGAGUGGCGGACGGGUGAGUAAUGUCUGGGAACCUGCCUGAUGGAGGGGGAUAACUACUGGAAACGUUAGCUAAUACCGCAUACCAUCAGAUGUGCCCAGACGGGAUUAGCUAGUUGGUGGGGUAACGGCUCACCCAGGCGACGCUCCCUAGCUGGUCUGAGAGGAUGACCGGCCAAACGGGAACUGGGACACGGUCCAGACUCCGACGGGAGGCAGCAGUGGGGAAUAUUGCACAAUGGGCGCAAGCCUGAUGCAGCAAUGCCGCGUGGAUGAAGAAGGCCUGCGGGUUGUAAAGUACUUUCAGCGGGGAGGCGGUACCCGCAGAAGAAGCACCGGCUAACUCCGUGCCAGCAGCCGCGGUAAUAC